GAUGAACGCUAGCGGCAGGCCUAAUACAUGCAAGUCGAGGGGCAGCGCGGUAGCAAUACUGGCGGCGACCGGCGCACGGGUGCGUAACACGUAUGCAACCUACCUUCAACUGGAGGAUAGCCCGGGGAAACUCGGAUUAAUACUCCAUAACACAGGGAUCCCCGCAUGGGAAUAUUGUUAAAGCUACGGCGGUUGAAGAUGGGCAUGCGUUCGAUUAGCUAGUUGGUGUAGGUAACGGCUCACCAAGGCUACGAUCGAUAGGGGGUCUGAGAGGAUGAUCCCCCACACUGGUACUGAGAUACGGACCAGACUCCUACGGGAGCAGCAGUAGGGAAUA
rnacentral:rRNA from 1 species